rnacentral:rRNA from 1 species
CGGCGAAAUUGCAGUACGAGUAAAGAUGCUCGUUACGCGCGGCAGGACGAAAAGACCCCGGGACCUUCACUAUAGCUUGGUAUUGGUGUUCGGUUCGGUUUGUGUAGGAUAGGUGGGAGACUGUGAAGUGGGCACGCCAGUGUUCAUGGAGUCGUUGUUGAAAUACCACUCUGAUCGUAUUGGACUUCUAACCUCGGACCCUGAUCGGGUUCAGGGACAGUGCCUGGUGGGUAGUUUAACUGGGGCGGUUGCCUCCCAAAAUGUAACGGAGGCGCCCAAAGGUUCCCUCAGCCUGGUUGGCAAUCAGGUGUUGAGUGUAAGUGCACAAGGGAGCUUGACUGUGAGACGUACAUGUCGAGCAGGGACGAAAGUCGGGACUAGUGAUCCGGCACCGGCAAGUGGAAGCGGUGUCGCUCAACGGAUAAAAGGUACCCCGGGGAUAACAGGCUGAUCUUCCCCAAGAGUCCAUAUCGACGGGAUGGUUUGGCACCUCGAUGUCGGCUCGUCGCAUCCUGGGGCUGGAGUAGGUCCCAAGGGUUGGGCUGUUCGCCCAUUAAAGCGGCACGCGAGCUGGGUUUAGAACGUCGUGAGACAGUUCGGUCUCUAUCCGCCGCGCGCGUCAGAAACUUGAGGAAACCUGUCCCUAGUACGAGAGGACCGGGACGGACGAACCUCUGGUGUGCCAGUUGUCCUACCAAGGGCACCGCUGGUUAGCUACGUUCGGAAGGGAUAACCGCUGAAAGCAUCUAAGCGGGAAGCCUGUUCCAAGAUGAGGUUUCUCACCCCCUCAGAGGGGGUAAGGCCCCCCACAGACCAUGGGGUUGAUAGGCCAGAACUGGAAGUACAGCAAUGUAUGCAGGUGACUGGUACUAAUCGGCCGAGGACUUACAACAACACUC